AUUGAACGCUGGCGGCAGGCUUAACACAUGCAAGUCGAGCGGAGAUGAGGUGCUUGCACCUUAUCUUAGCGGCGGACGGGUGAGUAAUGCUUAGGAAUCCGCCUAUUAGUGGGGGACAACAUUCCGAAAGGAAUGCUAAUACCGCAUACGUCCUACGGGAGAAAGCAGGGGAUCUUCGGACCUUGCGCUAAUAGAUGAGCCUAAGUCGGAUUAGCUAGUUGGUGGGGUAAAGGCCUACCAAGGCGACGAUCUGUAGCGGGUCUGAGAGGAUGAUCCGCCACACUGGGACUGAGACACGGCCCAGACUCCUACGGGAGGCAGCAGUGGGGAAUAUUGGACAAUGGGCGGAAGCCUGAUCCAGCCAUGCCGCGUGUGUGAAGAAGGCCUUUUGGUUGUAAAGCACUUUAAGCGAGGAGGAGGCUACUAGUACUAAUACUACUGGAUAGUGGACGUUACUCGCAGAAUAAGCACCGGCCAACUCUGUGCCAGCAGCCGCAGUAACAC
rnacentral:rRNA from 1 species